rnacentral:rRNA from 1 species
UGGGGAAUAUUGCACAAUGGGCGAAAGCCUGAUGCAGCGACGCCGCGUGAGGGAAGACGGCCUUCGGGUUGUAAACCUCUUUCAGCUCCGACGAAGCGAAAGUGACGGUAGGGGCAGAAGAAGCGCCGGCCAACUACGUGCCAGCAGCCGCGGUAAGACGUAGGGCGCAAGCGUUGUCCGGAUUUAUUGGGCGUAAAGAGCUCGUAGGCGGCUUGUCGCGUCGACUGUGAAAACCUGCGGCUCAACCGUACGGUCUGCAGUCGAUACGGGCAGGCUAGAAUUCGGUAGGGGAGACUGGAAUUCCUGGUGUAGCGGUGAAAUGCGCAGAUAUCAGGAGGAACACCGGUGGCGAAGGCGGGUCUCUGGGCCGAUAUUGACGCUGAGGAGCGAAAGCGUGGGGAGCGAACAG